rnacentral:rRNA from 1 species
GCUACGGGUGGCAGCAGUGGGGAAUAUUGGACAAUGGGCGAAAGCCUGAUCCAGCCAUGCCGCGUGUGUGAAGAAGGCCUUCGGGUUGUAAAGCACUUUCAGUGGGGAAGAAAGCCUUGGGGCUAAUACCCUCGAGGAAGGACAUCACCCACAGAAGAAGCACCGGCUAACUCCGUGCCAGCGGCCGCGGUAAUACGGAGGGUGCGAGCGUUAAUCGGAAUUACUGGGCGUAAAGCGCGCGUAGGCGGUCUGAUAAGCCGGUUGUGAAAGCCCCGGGCUCAACCUGGGAACGGCAUCCGGAACUGUCAGGCUAGAGUGCAGGAGAGGAAGGUAGAAGUCCCGGUGUAGCGGUGAAAUGCGUAGAGAUCGGGAGGAAUACCAGUGGCGAAGGCGGCCUUCUGGACUGACACUGACGCUGAGGUGCGAAAGCGUGGGUAGCAAACAGGAUUAGAUACCCCAGUAGUC